CGCCCGAGAUCAACUCCCGGGCGGGCUCCGUGCCGGGGUUCAUCCCAUGCAGUAACAGGUGUGAGCAUCCAUGCAGCGUUUUGAUGGUCAUGUAUGAUACUGCAUACAACA
rnacentral:snoRNA from 1 species